GUGGGGUUGGGGAUGAAGGUGUUGACCCGGCCGCCGAUCACCACGACGACGCGCUUGCCCUUCUGCAGGACCUGCACGCCGCGUUGGGUGAACGCCGG
rnacentral:sRNA from 1 species